CAGACUAACACGACAACCCCUCUGAUACAUCUCUGUUCCAGACUCAGCAGCAGAAAGUGAAUCUGGUGAGCGAGGCCCGGAUUGAAUAUGAGGAGAAGAAAUACAACCAGAAGGAGGGAUUCGUCCAGCGCCAGGUGCAGACGGUGGUGGAGCACUCCGAGGUCUAUAACUACCUGCCCAUCAUUGUGGGCAGCAGCGUGGGGGGCCUGGUCCUGCUGGCUCUCAUCACCGCAGCCCUCUACAAGUUCGGCUUCUUCAAGCGCGAGUACAAGCAGAGGAUGGAGGGUGAUGGGGCUGAGCCGGCCCAGAGUGAUGCGUCCCCUCCCCCCGAUGCCCCCAAACAAUAGACCCACCCACAUCCCCUCCCCAUGGGCUGCUCCAGAUCCACACACCAACCUGACAAUCUGAACUUGGAACAUCCCUUCAGAGCAUCCAUGGGGGGGCUGAGACCAGGAUUCCUGGGUUCUAUCCCCAGUGGUGGGAGAGGAGUGGGUCU